rnacentral:misc_RNA from 1 species
GAUGAAGAACGUAGCGAAAUGCGAUAAGUAAUGUGAAUUGCAGAAUUCAGUGAAUCAUCGAAUCUUUGAACGCACAUUGCGCCCGCCAGUAUUCUGGCGGGCAUGCCUGUUCGAGCGUCAUUACAACCCUCAGGCCCCCGGGCCUGGCGUUGGGGAUCGGCGGAGCCCCCCGUGGGCACACGCCGUCCCCCAAAUACAGUGGCGGUCCCGCCGCAGCUUCCAUCGCGUAGUAGCUAACACCUCGCGACUGGAGAGCGGCGCGGCCACACCGUAAAACACCCAACUCUUCUGAAGUUGACCUCGAAUCAGGUAGGAAUACCCGCUGAACUUAAGCAUAUCAAUAAGCGGAGGA